AUUUCUACAUAUCAAUAUUUUGUAAUAAAAGAAGCAAACAUUUUUCCAAAUAACAUUUAUUUAUUAAAAAUAUUCUCAGUUGUGCAAAAUGCACACUUAUAGCUACAAAACACAUCACAACAGAAUGUUCUGCAGCAUGAAGCAAAUGGUUGGACCUCUCUGUUUUCCUAUCAUGAAUAUUUUCACUGGAGAAAAGUAAGGAUUCCAAUUAAGGAAUGACAUACGGUGAAACUGACUGAUGGACUUAAUGGUAUAGUUUUUUUUUUGUUUUUUUAAAUGUAUUUGGUUGCCAUCAACUGUGGACAUAUACAAUUGGGUGAGUUACCUAUCUGCCUAUCAUGUUGGAAGUCCUUCUGCACAUCAACAUAUGUGCUUUCUGGAGAAACUCUGAGGAUAAUAGAUAUGCUGGAAGAGCAAGACUUGAAAUACAAUUUUUUAAGAGCAAAUAACCAUAAUAUAGAUC